GUGCUCUCUUAGCACAUAUAAUUGGAACGAGAUAGAGAAGAUUAGCCUGGCCCACAUGCAAGGAUGACACACAAAUUCAUGAAGUGUUUCAUAAAAAA
rnacentral:snRNA from 1 species